UGCAGGGUGGCAAAGUUCGGUAUUGCGCGGUCAUACAGCAAAUCAUUAGACCGAGACGAUGGUUCAAAUCCAUCCUCUGCAA
rnacentral:tRNA from 1 species